rnacentral:rRNA from 1 species
AAAUUGAAGAGUUUGAUCAUGGCUCAGAUUGAACGCUGGCGGCAGGCCUAACACAUGCAAGUCGAACGGUAACAGGAAGCAGCUUGCUGCUUCGCUGACGAGUGGCGGACGGGUGAGUAAUGUCUGGGAAGCUGCCUGAUGGAGGGGGAUAACUACUGGAAACGGUGGCUAAUACCGCAUAACGUCGCAAGACCAAAGAGGGGGACCUUCGGGCCUCUUGCCAUC